GGUUCGAUCAUAGCUCAGAUUGAACGCUGGCGGGAUGCUACACAUGCAAGUCGAACGGCAGCACGGACUUCAGUCUGGUGGCAGAUGGCGGUGGGUGAGUAAUGUCGGAACGUGCCUAGUAGCGGGGGAUAACUACGCGAAGGCAGCAGCUAAUACCGCAUACGCCCUUCGGGGGAAAGCAGAGGACAUUCGGGCCUCGCACUAUUAGAGCGGCCGAUAUCGGAUUAGCUAGUUGGUGGAGGUAACGGCUCACCAAGGCGACGAUCCGUAGCUGGUUUGAGAGGACGACCAUUACACUGGGACUGGAGACUGGCCCAGACUCCUACGGGAGGCAGCAGUGGGGAAUUUUGGACAAUGGGGAAACCCUGAUCCAGCCAUCCCGCGUGUGCGAUGAGGCCUUCGGGUUGUAAAGCACUUUUUGGCAGGAAAGAAACGGCUGCGGGAUAAUACCCCGUGCAACUGACGACACCUGCAGAAUAAGCACCGGCUAACUACGUGCCAGCGGCCGCGGUAAUACGUAGGGUGCAAGCGUUAAUCUGGGAAUUACUGGGCGUAAAGCGUGCGCAGGCGGUUCGGAAAAGAUGUGAAAUCCAGAGCUUAACUUUGGAACUGCAUUUUUAACUACCGGGCUAGGUGUGUCAGAGGAGGUGGAAUUCCGCGUGUAGCAGUGAAAUGCGUAGAUAUGCGGAGGGUACACCGAUAAGCGAAGGCAGCCUCCUGGGAUAACCGACGCUCAUGCACAAGCGUGGGGGAGCAAACAGGAUUAGAUACCCUGGUAGUCCACGCCCUAAACGAUGUCAACUAGCUGUUGGGGCCUUCGAGGCUGGUAGCGCAGCUAACGCGUGAAGUUGACCGCCUGGGGAGAUACGGUCGCAAGAUUAAAACUCAAAGGAAUUGACGGGGACCCGCACAAGCGGUGGAUGAUGUGGAUUAAUUCGAUGCAACGCGAAAAACCUUACCUACCUUGACAUGUCCCGGAUCUCCGAAGAGAUUUGGGGUAUAUAAAGAGAACCGGAACGCAGGUGCUGCGCAAUGGCUGUCGUCAGCUCGUGUCGUGAGAUGUUGGGUUAAGUCCCGCAACGAGCGCAACCCUUGUCGUGGGUGCUGAAGGGCGCUAAGCCGGGAACUGCCGGUGACAAACCGGGAGGAAGAACAGGGGAUGACGUCAGUCCAUCAUGGCCCUUAUGGUGAGGCUUCACCACGUCAUACAAUGGUCAGGACAGAGGGUCGCCAACCCGCGAGGGGAACAAUCCCAGAAACCCGAUCGUAGUCCGGAUCGCAGUCUGCAACUCGACUGCGUGAAGUCGGAAUCGCUAGUAAUCGCGGAUCAGCAUGUCGCGGUGAAUACGUUCCCGGGUCUUGUACACACCGCCCGUCACACCAUGGGGAGGGUGGGUUUGCCGAAGUGAUUGGCUAAAGCGUAAGGAGGCGUUGCGGCGAGAUUCUGGCUGGGGGGUGAAGUCGUAUUGAAAGUGU
rnacentral:rRNA from 1 species